rnacentral:rRNA from 1 species
UACGUAGGAGGCGAGCGUUGUCCGGAAUUACUGGGCGUAAAGAGCUCGUAGGCGGCCUGUUGCGUCCGCUGUGAAAGCCCGGGGCUUAACCCCGGGUCGGCAGUGGAUACGGGCAGGCUAGAGGUAGGUAGGGGAGAAUGGAAUUCCCGGUGUAGCGGUGAAAUGCGCAGAUAUCGGGAAGAACACCCGUGGCGAAGGCGGCACUCUGGGACGGUACUGACGCUGAGACGCGAAAGCGUGGGGAGCGAACAGG